ACGGGUGAGUAACACGUGGAUAACCUGCCCCUUUGUGGGGAAUACCGUUGGGAAACCGACGACAAUACCGCAUAAGCUCGAGAGAGGAAAGCAGCAAUGCGCAGAGGGAGGGGUCCGCGGUCGAUUAGCUAGUUGGUGAGGUAAUGGCUCACCAAGGCUGUGAUCGAUAGCCGGCCUGAGAGGGCACACGGCCACACUGGCACUGAAACACGGGCCAGACUCCUACGGGAGGCAGCAGUGGGGAAUCUUGCACAAUGGGGGAAACCCUGAUGCAGCGACGCCGCGUGAGCGAUGAAGCCCUUCGGGGUGUAAAGCUCUUUCGGCAGGGAAGAUUAUGACGGUACCUGCAGAAGCAGCUGCGGCUAACUACGUGCCAGCAGCCGCGG
rnacentral:rRNA from 1 species